GUGUCAGCAGCCGCGGCAAUACGGAGGGUGCAAGCGUUAUCCGGAUUCACUGGGUUUAAAGGGUGCGUAGGUGGGUAUGUAAGUCAGUGGUGAAAUCCCCGAUCUUAACUUGGGAACUGCCGUUGAUACUAUAUAUCUUGAAUGUCGUAGAGGUAAGCGGAAUAUGUCAUGUAGCGGUGAAAUGCUUAGAUAUGACAUAGAACACCGAUUGCGAAGGCAGCUUACUACACGAUCAUUGACACUGAGGCACGAAAGCGUGGGGAGCAAACAGGAUUAGAUACCCUGGUAGUCC
rnacentral:rRNA from 1 species